CCUACGGGGGGCAGCAGUAAGGAAUAUUGGUCAAUGGAGGAAACUCUGAACCAGCCAUCCCGCGUGAAGGAUGAAGGGGCUCUGCCUUGUAAACUUCUUUUGUCUGGGGCGAAAAAGCUCGAUUUAUCGAGAACUGACGGUACCAGAAGAAUAAGCACCGGCUAACUCCGUGCCAGCAGCCGCGGUAAUACGGAGGGUGCAAGCGUCAUCGGGAAUCACUGGGGUUAAGGCGUGCUUGGACGUCAUUGGUGAAAGGCUGUGGCUUAACCAUGGAAUUGCCAUUGAUACUGCAGAGCUUGAAUGAGGUUGAGGUUGGCGGAAUGUGACAUGUAGCGGUGAAAUGCGUAGAUAUGUGAUGGAACACCGAUUGCGAAGGCAGCUGACUGGACCUAUAUUGACGCUGAGGCACGAAAGCGUGGGGAGCGAACAGGAUUAGAUACCCCUGUAGUC
rnacentral:rRNA from 1 species